CCUGCCUGUAAGACUGGGAUAACUCCGGGAAACCGGAGCUAAUACCGGAUACUAUGUCAAACCGCAUGGUUUGACAUUCAAAGACGGUUUCGGCUGUCACUUACAGAUGGGCCCGCGGCGCAUUAGCUAGUUGGUGAGGUAAYGGCUCACCAAGGCRACGAUGCGUAGCCGACCUGAGAGGGUGAUCGGCCACACUGGGACUGAGACACGGCCCAGACUCCUACGGGAGGCAGCAGUAGGGAAUCUUCCGCAAUGGACGAAAGUCUGACGGAGCAACGCCGCGUGAGUGAUGAAGGUUUUCGGAUCGUAAAACUCUGUUGUCAGGGAAGAACAAGUGCCGGAGUAACUGCCGGYGCCUUGACGGUACCUGACCAGAAAGCCACGGCUAACUACGUGCCAGCAGCCGCGGUAAUACGUAGGUGGCAAGCGUUGUCCGGAAUUAUUGGGCGUAAAGCGCGCGCAGGCGGUUUCUUAAGUCUGAUGUGAAAGCCCCCGGCUCAACCGGGGAGGGUCAUUGGAAACUGGGAAACUUGAGUGCAGAAGAGGAGAGUGGAAUUCCACGUGUAGCGGUGAAAUGCGUAGAGAUGUGGAGGAACACCAGUGGCGAAGGCGACUCUCUGGUCUGUAACUGACGCUGAGGCGCGAAAGCGUGGGGAGCGAACAGGAUUAGAUACCCUGGUAGUCCACGCCGUA
rnacentral:rRNA from 1 species